GAAAUGCGAUAAGUAAUGUGAAUUGCAGAAUUCCGUGAAUCAUCGAAUCUUUGAACGCACAUUGCGCCCUCUGGUAUUCCGGGGGGCAUGCCUGUCCGAGCGUCAUUGCGAACCCCUCAAGCACGGCUUGUGUGAUGGGCCCUCCCGCGUCUUGGUCGUCAAGACGGCCCGAAAUGCAGUGGCGGCUUCGCGGUUAUCCGAUCAGCCAGAGCGUAUGGGGACUCUCUCUCUUGUCACACGCCCGCGGCGCGGACCGACGCCUGUCGACCUUUAUUCAUCUUCUCUCGGUUGACCUCGGAUCAGGUAGGGAUACCCGCUGAACUUAAGC
rnacentral:misc_RNA from 1 species